GAUGAACGCUGGCGGCGUGCCUAAUACAUGCAAGUCGAGCGAACAGACGAGGAGCUUGCUCCUCUGACGUUAGCGGCGGACGGGUGAGUAACACGUGGAUAACCUACCUAUAAGACUGGGAUAACUUCGGGAAACCGGAGCUAAUACCGGAUAAUAUAUUGAACCGCAUGGUUCAAUAGUGAAAGACGGCUUUGCUGUCACUUAUAGAUGGAUCCGAGCCGCAUUAGCUAGUUGGUAAGGUAACGGCUUACCAAGGCAACGAUGCGUAGCCGAGCUGAGAGGGUGAUCGGCCACAUGGGAACGGAGACAGGCUCCAGGCGCCUGCGGGAGGCAGCAGUAGGGAAUCUUCCGCAAUGGGCGGAAGCCUUACGCAGCAACGCCGCGUGAGUGAUGAAGGUCUUCGGAUCGUAAAACUCUGUUAUUAGGUAAGAACAAAUGUGUAAGUAACUGUGCACGUCUUGACGGUACCUGGUCAGAAAGCCACGGCUAACUACGUG
rnacentral:rRNA from 1 species